GUCAGAGCCUCGGAGGUACUGGGGGCGGAAGUUCAUAGGGGCGAGGAGGGUCCACAGGGACAAGCUGGAAGCCUUCCAGGCCCGCUAUGCCCCGCCUCCUGUCCUUUCCCACUCCGUCUUCAAUCUUUUACCCUUUGCAUGGAGACGUGUGGCUUAGUUAGGUUUGGAGUUUAAAAGAAAGGAUUGUCAUUGUCAAUACAGUGUCGCUGCUCUGCAAGCCUGACUGUAGUGAGGCUUGAUGGUGAAGUCUCAUUCUUCUGCAUAGCCUGAAAAUAACCAUUUCUUAAAACACUUCACCUACCUAUCCCCAGGACAAAAGUCUGCCACCUUUUGUCAUCAACAAAAGUUAUGCACGACUCGGGGUGGGGACACAGCCAUGGAGGAAAGGUUUGAGCAAUGGAGGGUUGGAGAAUCGGGUGCCGAAAAGGGGGACUUACUUGAGAACUGUAUCCUAAGGUGGCUUACAUAAUGUGUGAGAAAUACAAGUUUACUAGGGCCGGGCGCGGUGGCUCUCGCCUAUAAUCCCAACACUUUGGGAAGCCGAGGCGGGCGGAUCACGAGGUCAGGAGUUCGAGAUUAGCCUGAUCAACAUGGUGAAAUCCCGUCUCUACUAAAAAUACAAAAAUUAGCCGGGCAUGGUGGCGGGCGCCUGUAAUCCCAGCUACUCAGGAGGCUGAGGUAGGAGAAUCGCUUGAACCCGGGAGGCGGAGGUUGCAGUGAGCCGAGAUCGGGCCAUUGCACUGCAGCCUGGGUGACAGAGCGAGACUCUGUCUCAAAAAAAAAAAAAAAAAAAAAAAAAAGCGCGCAUCACCACGCCCAGCUAUUUUUUUUUUUCUUGUAGAGAUAGUGC
rnacentral:lncRNA from 10 species